UCGUGCUAGACGGGGAGCUAGCGGUGCCCUGAACCCGCAAUCCGCUAUAGCGGGGUUGAACUCCCGCUCGAGGUUCAGGCGCCGUGGGGACUGCCCUGGAAAGUAGCGUUGAUGACCCGGCCCUGCGCGGCGAGGCGCUGCGAACCCCGUCAGGCCCGGAAGGGAGCAGCGGUAAGUAGUAAGCUUCGGGUGCCGCAGGUAAACCGAGUUGGAGCUGGCUGUCAGGACAAGCCCGCGGGGCCCGGAUCGACAGCGGGUGCACGA
rnacentral:SRP_RNA from 1 species